UUUAUAAAUAUUAAUAUUGUGUAGGUUCACUUGGUAACAAGCCACCUGGUAACAAUUUUUUUUAUCCGAUUAAGUGCACAACACAGCACAACAUGACACUUCCUUUUAUAACUUGCACAACACUUACUACACAUUUUUAUCCGAUUAAGUGCACAGUACAUUCUCCUAUUCCUAAACAAGCCAUCUGGUAACAUAGCUUACCAAAACAGUUUAGGAUCAAUGUCUUUCUUUCAAAAAAUAAACAAAGGAAUUACACAUAUUUGUUUUUAAAAAACAAUGGUCGGAUCUAAAAUUCGGUGGCGCGACUGAGCAAAUCAAGUCUCAAUUUUGGUGCGACUAAUCGGAACCAAAGCUUGUUGCUUCUGACUGGAUCUCCAAAAUUUUCGAUGACAUCCGAUUAUAAACUUUUUCUAACAGAAAAAACUGGGGUUUUGCGAGUUGUUCCAGGCAAAACACUCCUUUUACAUGGAACGGAGCGCAUGUGAAAGCCAACUCUUGUGACUUGAUAUAUGUUUUAACACAGUGGGUUACUGUUGGGAACAAAAUUAAGUAGCAUUGUAUUAUAUAUGUAUAGGGAAGUUUGUUUCGCCGCUAUAAACUUGGUGAUGCCAUUCGUGCUUAAAUAAAUGAAAGUAAAAUGUGUUUAAUAUGUGA